rnacentral:sRNA from 1 species
GCUAGGCACGGUGGCGCAUGCCUAUAAUCCCACUGACUUGGGAGGCUGAGACAGGAGGAUUGCCAAGUUCAAAGCCAGCUUCAGCAAAAGCGAGGUGCUAAGAAACUCAGUGGGAUCUUGUCUCUA